rnacentral:rRNA from 1 species
UACGGUAGGGGGCUAGCGUUGUCCGGAUUUAUUGGGCGUAAAGAGCGUGUAGGCGGCCAGGUAGGUCCGCUGUGAAAACUCGAGGCUCAACCUCGAGACGUCGGCGGAAACCCCUUGGCUAGAGUCCGGAAGAGGGAGAGUGGAAUUCCUGGUGUAGCGGUGAAAUGCGCAGAUAUCAGGAAGAACACCCGUGGCGAAGGCGGCUCUCUGGGACGGUACUGACGCUGAGACGCGAAAGCGUGGGGAGCAAACAGG